rnacentral:misc_RNA from 1 species
GAAUUGCGAUAAGUAGUGUGAAUUGCAGAAUUCAGUGAAUCAUCGAAUCUUUGAACGCACAUUGCGCCCUUUGGUAUUCCAAAGGGCAUGCCUGUUCGAGCGUCAUUUGUACCCUCAAGCUUUGCUUGGUGUUGGGCGUCUUGUCUCUAGCUUUGCUGGAGACUCGCCUUAAAGUAAUUGGCAGCCGGCCUACUGGUUUCGGAGCGCAGCACAAGUCGCACUCUCUAUCAGCAAAGGUCUAGCAUCCAUUAAGCCUUUUUUUCAACUUUUGACCUCGGAUCAGGUAGGGAUACCCGCUGAACUUAAGC